GACGAACGCUGGCGGCGUGCUUAACACAUGCAAGUCGAACGAGGUCCAAUCAUUCGCAAGAAUGAGGAAUACCUAGUGGCGAACGGGUGCGUAACACAUGAGAAACCUACCCCAGACUCUGGAAUAACAAGUGGAAACAUUUGCUAAUACCGGAUGUCGUUGAAUCACCGCAUGGUGUGUCAACGAAAGAUUUUUCGGUUUGGGAGGGUCUCGUGGCCUAUCAGCUUGUUGGCGAGGUAACGGCUCACCAAGGCUUCGACGGGUAGCUGGUCUGAGAGGAUGAUCAGCCACACUGGGACUGAGACACGGCCCAGACUCCUACGGGAGGCUG
rnacentral:rRNA from 1 species